CGAUCAGGGACCGCUCUUCCACAUGCUUCCACUCCGAGUCGGCACAGCCGACCACAACAGUCUUGUUUCGGCCAGGCCGGUGAGGGCUCUUUCUGUGAAGUGGUCCAAGCAGAGGCGGUAGCCGUGGUAUACAUCUGCUCCCAUGUCAUCCUCGCCAGGACUCCCCAUUUAGCUACUUUCUGGAAGACACGCAGGCACAAGCAAUUACUCAGCAACCCGACGACGGCUCUCGACGCCAUGACGCCGCACGUCAUCGACGAAGAGAAACUCGACGUCGCCGCCUAUCUCCAGUGCCGAAGAAGCCCGACAGCUCACCCGCCUGCGCAUCAAAAACCAGCAGAGGACCGACAGCCGGCAGUACAAUCUUCGACGACGCUAUGUACGUGGAAUGCCAGCCCGGCGACCAUGUUUGGGUCUGGGCUCCGAUACGCCGACGAGGACUUAGCGAGGAACUGUUACGACGCUAUUUCGGACCCUACGAGAUCAUCCGACGUAUUGGAGUAAUGGACUGUGAGGUCGUGCCAGGCGGCAUUUCGCAAUAAAGAGUCGGUUUCGUCAUUCA